AGGGACUUAGGGAGUUGGGGAUUUGAGUCUUAAAAGUGUCCCCACCCCUAGUUACAUGGAGAUGGAGGGUUCUUAGCCCCUUGCUUUUCGCUCCUCCAUCUACAUUCCUCCCCCCACCCCCAGCUUACAACAGGCCAGGUUUCCUUGGUGAGUUCGUGGAGAAGGGGGCAACACCCCCAGUCAGACCAGAAGGCUGAGUUGUGAACUGGCCAUGUGGUUAAGCAAGUGGUAGAAGACAGGGACCUUAGUUUCUGGUCUUGGGGUGGAGGAUGAAGACACUGGGACCAUCCGCCUUGUGUGUACUGUAUGUCGCCAGCCGCUGUUGCUGAAGGAACUUGAAGCAUAAUCGAUCCAUCCCAGAGGGACUGGAGUUAUGACAAGCUUCCCAAAUAUUUUGCUUUAUCAUCUGAUAUCAACACUUGUAUCUGGUCUCUGUGUCCCAGCGGUGCCUUGUGCAAUGUCAGUGUGCGCGUCUAUGCUAAACCACCAUUUUAUUUGGUCUUUUGUUUUGUUUUGGUUUUGCUCUGAUUCUUGCCAAAAUGAGACUCUUCACGAACGGCCAGGGGAAGGGGCUGAGUGAGGCUCUCAUUCUUUUUGGUUUAGGGAUGUUUGGUUUUUUUGUUUUGUUUUGUUUUGUUUUGUUUUCUUUCGCCUCCCAGAGGACCAAUGAAAUGAAGUGGGCUUCUCCCUCUCCCCUAGUUUUCCAAGGGUGUAUGUAGUUGUGGGUCUUAGCUUCCUUCCUCCGGCUGAGACUUAUACUGGCUUCCCCACCCACCCACCCCCAUCCCCAAAGGCCCUGGCUCUGGGUCUGGAAAGAAGGCCACCUCCAGCCAAUUUGUACACAACCCUGCCACUGGAAGCAGGGGUGGACUGCUUCCUUCUCUUCUUUUUUUGGGGGGAGGGGACACAAAGUUUCAUGCUAGAUGUCCUAUGUAUUAUAUCUAUAAUAUAAACAUAUCAAACUCAA
rnacentral:lncRNA from 1 species